rnacentral:rRNA from 1 species
UGGGGAAUAUUGGGCAAUGGAGGCAACUCUGACCCAGCAACGCCGCGUGAGGGAAGAAGGUUUUCGGAUUGUAAACCUCUGUCCUAGGGGACGAAGAAAGUGACGGUACCCUAGGAGGAAGCCCCGGCUAACUACGUGCCAGCAGCCGCGGUAAUACGUAGGGGGCGAGCGUUGUCCGGAAUUACUGGGCGUAAAGGGUGCGUAGGCGGUUUGGUAAGUUAGAUGUGAAAUCCCCGGGCUUAACUCGGGAGUUGCAUUUAAAACUGCUGAACUAGAGUGCAGGAGAGGAAAGCGGAAUUCCUAGUGUAGCGGUGAAAUGCGUAGAUAUUAGGAGGAACACCAGUGGCGAAGGCGGCUUUCUGGACUGUAACUGACGCUGAGGCACGAAAGCGUGGGGAGC